ensembl:snRNA U6 U6 spliceosomal RNA
UCGCUUUGGCAGCAUAUGUACUAAAAUCGGAACAAUACAGAGGAGUAGUGUGGUCCGGCACAAGAAUGUCACGCAAAUUCGUGAAGCAUCCCAUAUUUUU